rnacentral:rRNA from 1 species
GACGAACGCUGGCGGCGUGCCUAAUACAUGCAAGUCGAACGCAGUGGGGACGGGUGAGUAACACGUGGGUGACCUCCCAUCAGAGGGGGGAACCCUUGGAAACAGGUGCUAAACCGAUACUGAUGGAUGGACCCGGGGUGCAUUAGCUAGUUGGUGAGGUAACGGCGAACCAAGGCCACGAGCCAUAGCUGACCUGAGAGGGUGACCGGCCACACUGGGACUGAGACACGGCCCAGACUCCUACGGGAGGCAGCAGUAGGGAAUCUUCGGCAAUGGACGAAAGUCUGACGGAGCCAUGCCGCGUGAGUGAAGAAGGUUUUCGGAUCGUAAAACUCUGUUGUUAGGGAAGCGUUAUCUAACGAGAAAGCCACGGCUAACUCCGUGCCAGCAGCCGCGGUAAUAC